GACGGAGGGUGCUAGCGUUGUUCGGAAUCAUUGGGCGUAAAGAGCGUGUAGGCGGCUCGAUAAGUCUGCUGUGAAAGUCCAGGGCUCAACCCUGGAAGGCCGGUGGAAACUGUCGGGCUAGAGUCCGGAAGAGGCGAGUGGAAUUCCCGGUGUAGCGGUGAAAUGCGCAGAUAUCGGGAGGAACACCAGUGGCGAAGGCGGUUGCCUGGGGCUUUGCUGACGCUGAGGCGCGAAAGCGUGGGGAGCGAUCCGG
rnacentral:rRNA from 1 species